rnacentral:lncRNA from 1 species
CCCAUUUAUAUUUUAAAAAUUAAUACGACUAAUAUUAAAAAUCUGGCGGCACAAGAGCUCAUCCUGAGUGAACGGUGCUGUGUGCCCAGUGACUGGUGCAGACGAGAAUCCAGAACUCGAGGGUUUGGUGAGGCCGGGUGCUCAAGGAAGGCGUCCUGCGGGCAGCAGGGAGAGACUGAGGCACUGAGGGCCGUGCUUGUUGUCAGCCCGCUUCCUAUUACUCUCUCUGGACGUGCAGUUGAAUUCAAUGGGGCAGGUCCACACACCACUCACUCAGUGUGUCCCCAGGCCUCCUGCCCCAUGGACCUAGGUCCCGGAACUCCCAAGCUGCAACUGGGAGGCGCCAGGGAGCCGGGAGACCACCAAGGUCAUCCAGACAGCCUGCCAGCGAGCCAGCUACCGAUGUCAAGGGCGCGAGGCCGUGGCAAUCCUCGGCCAAGUCAAUUAUGAUGGGCACAACCUGAUAGCCCUGCACGAGCGCGUCUCAAGCUGCAUUAAACAUCGGGUGAAAGAGAAGAAGGAAGAAAGCCAUUUGGAGAUCUGGAACUCCCCGCCCCGCCCUCCCCGAGUCUCUUCCCUCCCUCCCAUCAGGCCUUGGGUUCCAGGGAACCUCCACGAGGCUGCGCCGCAGGAAGAAACUACUCAGGACUACUCAGUUUUGUCGUCUGUGCAGUGGGAACAGCGCUAGGCUCCUGAGAGAAGCCCAGGACGAGAGGAGAAGCUGGUUUGUAGCAGGAAGCCCUGGGCUGCCCCGAUACCGCCGUCCAUAGGGGCCAACGCUCACGGGAUGUGGAUUAACUGUGGGAUCCUCGCAAUAGCCCAGCGAGGAGGGUUCUGCUAACACCCCAUUUUAUGAAUGAAGAAACUGAAAUUUAAGGAGAUGAGGGGCCCCCUGGCUGGGAGGCGGAGGGGUGGAAUUUGAGCCCAGCCAUGCCAAGGUUCCCAAGGCCCUGUUCCUGCUCCACUCUGUCUUCUCCUGUAAGGGGCCGCGUGCUUGGCCGGCAGAGGCAGGUGGCCGGGCUGCGGGCUGUGCUGGCUCUUUGGACCCUGGCACACGGCACGUACACAGUGAACGGUGAACAGCAAUAAAGAAGAGAAACCCCAGGGCGGCUAGACCCUC